rnacentral:tRNA from 1 species
GCCCCGAUCGUCUAGCGGUCAGGAUGCCGGGCUUUCAAUCCGGGGACGCGAGUUCGAUUCUCGCUCGGGGUA